UACAGAGGGUGCGAGCGUUAAUCGGAAUUACUGGGCGUAAAGGGCGCGUAGGCGGAUAGUUCAGUUGGGGGUGAAAGCCCGGGGCUCAACCUCGGAACUGCCUUCAAUACUGGCUAUCUUGAGUACGGGAGAGGUGUGUGGAACUCCGAGUGUAGAGGUGAAAUUCGUAGAUAUUCGGAAGAACACCAGUGGCGAAGGCGGCUCACUGGCCCGAUACUGACGCUGAGGCACGAAAGCGUGGGGAGCAAACAGG
rnacentral:rRNA from 1 species